GUGGGGAAUCUUCCGCAAUGGACGAAAGUCUGACGGAGCAACGCCGCGUGAGUGAUGAAGGUCUUCGGAUUGUAAAGCUCUGUUAAUCGGGACGAAAGAGCCUAGUGUGAAUAAUGCUAGGAAGUGACGGUACCGGAAUAGAAAGCCACGGCUAACUACGUGCCAGCAGCCGCGGUAAUACGUAGGUGGCAAGCGUUGCCCGGAAUUAUUGGGCGUAAAGCGCGCGUAGGCGGAUCUGCCAGUCUGUCUUAAAAGUUCGGGGCUUAACCCCGUGAUGGGAUGGAAACUACAGAUCUAGAGUAUCGGAGAGGAAAGUGGAAUUCCUAGUGUAGCGGUGAAAUGCGUAGAUAUUAGGAAGAACACCAGUGGCGAAGGCGACUUUCUGGACGAAAACUGACGCUGAGGCGCGAAAGCCAGGGGAGCGAACGGGAUUAGAUACCCUGGUAGUCC
rnacentral:rRNA from 1 species